UACGUAGGGACCAAGCGUUGUUCGGAUUUACUGGGCGUAAAGGGCGCGUAGGCGGCUUGUCAAGUCACUUGUGAAAUCUCUGGGCUUAACCCAGAACGGCCAAGUGAAACUGACAUGCUAGAGUGCAGAAGGGGCAAUCGGAAUUCCUGGUGUAGCGGUGAAAUGCGCAGAUAUCAGGAGGAACACCGGUGGCGAAGGCGGUUCUCUGGGCAUUACCUGACGCUGAGGAGCGAAAGUGUGGGGAGCGAGCAGG
rnacentral:rRNA from 1 species